UAGUAUGCCCGUUGAUGUUGUCGUGUC
rnacentral:sRNA from 1 species